GCGCUUGUAGCUCAGCGGAUGGAGCGUCUGUUUCCGAAACAGAAAGUCGUAGGUUCAAAUCCUAUCAGGCGUA